GAUGAACGCUGGAGGCGUGCUUAACACAUGCAAGGCGAACGAUGAAGCCCAGCUUGCUGGGUGGAUUAGUGGCGAACGGGUGAGUAACACGUGAGUAACCUGCCCUUGACUCUGGGAUAAGCCGGGGAAACUGGGUAUAAUACUGGAUAUGACUUCUCAUCGCAUGGUGGGGGGUGGAAAGAUGUAUUGGUCUUGGAUGGACUCGCGGCCUAUCAGCUUGUUGGUGAGGUAAUGGCUCACCAAGGCGACGACGGGUAGCCGGCCUGAGAGGGUGACCGGCCACACUGGGACUGAGACACGGACCAGACUCCUACGGGAGGCAGCAGCGGGGAAUAUUGCACAAUGGGCGCAAGCCUGAUGCAGAGACGCCGCGUGAGGGAUGACGGCCUUCGGGUUGUAAACCUCUUUCAGUAGGGAAGAAGCGAGAGUGACGGUACCUGCAGAAGAAGCGCCGGCUAACUACGUG
rnacentral:rRNA from 1 species